CUCCUGGAAACGGGUGGUAAUGCCGGAUGCUCCGGUUGGAUGCAUGUCCUUCCGGGAAAGGUUCCAUCGGUAUGGGAUGGGGUCGCGUCCUAUCAGCUUGAUGGCGGGGUAACGGCCCACCAUGGCUUCGACGGGUAGCCGGCCUGAGAGGGCGACCGGCCACAUUGGGACUGAGAUACGGCCCAGACUCCUACGGGAGGCAGCAGUGGGGAAUAUUGCACAAUGGGCGCAAGCCUGAUGCAGCGACGCCGCGUGCGGGAUGGAGGCCUUCGGGUUGUAAACCGCUUUUGAUCGGGAGCAAGCCCUUCGGGGUGAGUGUACCCUUCGAAUAAGCACCGGCUAACUACGUGCCAGCAGCCGCGGUAAUACGUAGGGUGCAAGCGUUAUCCGGAAUUAUUGGGCGUAAAGGGCUCGUAGGCGGUUCGUCGCGUCCGGUGUGAAAGCCCAUCGCUUAACGGUGGGUCUGCGCCGGGUACGGGCGGGCUGGAGUGCGGUAGGGGAGACUGGAAUUCCCGGUGUAACGGUGGAAUGUGUAGAUAUCGG
rnacentral:rRNA from 1 species